CUUGGUCAUUUAGAGGAAGUAAAAGUCGUAACAAGGUUUCCGUAGGUGAACCUGCGGAAGGAUCAUUCAUAAUAAGUGUUUUAUGGCACUUUUUAAAUCCAUAUCCACCUUGUGUGCAAUGUCAGUCGAUCUUCUUCAUGGAGGUCGACCAAACAUCAACCUAAUCUUUUAACUCUUUGUCUGAAAAAUAUUAUGAAUAAACAAUUCAAAAUACAACUUUCAACAACGGAUCUCUUGGCUCUCGCAUCGAUGAAGAACGCAGCGAAAUGCGAUACGUAAUGUGAAUUGCAGAAUUCAGUGAAUCAUCGAAUCUUUGAACGCAUAUUGCGCUCUUUGGUAUUCCGAAGAGCAUGCUUGUUUGAGUAUCAGUAAACACCUCAAAGCUUUUGGAUUUUUUUUGAAAGUUUUGGACUUGAGCAAAAUCCCAACACCAAUCUUUUUCAGAUCGGCGGCGGGUUGCUUGAAAUGCAGGUGCAGCUGGACAUUCUCCUGAGCUAAAAGCAUAUUCAUUUAGUCCCGUCAAACGGAUUAUUACUUUUGCUGCAGCUAACAUAAAGGGAGUUUGACCGCAUUGGCUGACUGAUGCAGGAUUUUACAAGGGUCGGCAACGAUUCUUGUUAAACUCGAUCUCAAAUCAAGUAAGACUACCCGCUGAACUUAAGCAUAUCAAUAAGCGGAGGA
rnacentral:rRNA from 1 species